rnacentral:rRNA from 1 species
AUUGAACGCUGGCGGCAGGCUUAACACAUGCAAGUCGAGCGGUGUGAUGGUGCUUGCACUAUCACUUAGCGGCGGACGGGUGAGUAAUGCUUAGGAAUCUGCCUAUUAGUGGGGGACAACAUCUCGAAAGGGGUGCUAAUACCGCAUACGUCCUACGGGAGAAAGCAGGGGAUCACUUGUGACCUUGCGCUAAUAGAUGAGCCUAAGUCGGAUUAGCUAGUUGGUGGGGUAAAGGCCUACCAAGGCGACGAUCUGUAGCGGGUCUGAGAGGAUGAUCCGCCACACUGGGACUGAGACACGGCCCAGACUCCUACGGGAGGCAGCAGUGGGGAAUAUUGGACAAUGGGGGGAACCCUGAUCCAGCCAUGCCGCGUGUGUGAAGAAGGCCUUAUGGUCGUAAAGCACUUUAAGCGAGGAGGAGGCUCUUUUGGUUAAUACCCAAGAUGAGUGGACGUUACUCGCAGAAUAAGCACCGGCUAACUCUGUGCCAGCAGCCGCAGUAA